AUAAUUCAAUGCAACCCCAAUUAAAAUCUCAGAGUUAUAGAACUUGCCAAGAUGAUUCUAAUACUUCAUCAAUAAGAAUUUAUAAGAAUUACCAAGAAAAUGAUGAAAAAGCAGAUAUGUGUGUUCCCUGCCAAUAUUAAAUGAAUUUAAAGUUAUAGUAAGUAAUGUUGUAUAGUAAUGUCAUAGAAAUAGGCAAAAUUAAUGGAACAGAAUACUGAAACAGCUCAUGUACAUAAGGAAAUUAGCAUAUAAUAAUUAGCAUGUUGUAUUAGUCCAUUUGCACACAACUAUAAAGAACUACCUGAAACUGGGUAAUUUAUGAAGAAAAGAGGUUUAAUUGACUCACAGUUCCACAGACUUAACAGGAAGCAUGACUGGGGGGGCCUCAGGAAACUUCGAAUCAUGGUGGGAGGUGAAGGGGAAGCAAGGCCUUCUUCACAUGGUGGCAGGAGAGAGAGCAAGCAAAGGGGGAAGUGUCACACACUUUCAAACAACCAGAUCUUGUGAGAACUCACUCACUGUCACCAGAACAAGGGGGAAGUCCACCGCCAUGAUUCAGUCACCUCCCACCAAGCCCCUCCCCCGACGUGGGGAUUACAAUUCAAGAUGAGAUUUGGGUGGGACACAAAAUCAAACCACAUCACAUGUUAAAUUAGCAUAGGAUAAAUGUUGAAUUUCAAAGCAGCAGGAAAAGAUGAGCUAUAUAGUCAAGACUCAUUUGCAAAUUAUAGAAACUAACAUAAGUUUAAGAAUAAAUGUAUCUGGGCUGACACAAAUAGAUUUAUUAUCUUGCUCCAAAGAAUAAAAGCCUUUUAUGUAAACUGAGAGAACUAUAGGACAAUAUGACAUAGUCAAAGGGUGCCAAAGGCAGGAAUUUUCUAAUUUUAUAGGUACAAGAAACUGUUUAAAGUACUAAAUGCAGUUAAUUAUUUAAAUUAGUUGACUUAAAAAUUAUAUAAAUGAAGAUGUCAAAGUUCAAACUUGAAGUAAUUACAGAAAGACAGACUGCAUUUCCUACAAUUGUGGUUUUUUUCCAUUUUAUUUUUUAUUGUGGUAAAAAGCACAUAACAUUAAUUUUACAAUGUUAACCAUUUUUUAAAUGUACAGUUCAAUAGUGUUAAGUAUAUUCACAUUGUUGUGCAACAGAUCUCAAAAAUUUGUUCAUCUGGCAAAACUGAAACCCAGCUGGGUGUGGCGGCCCAUGCCUAUAAUCCUAGCACUUUGGGAGGCCGAGGUGGAAGGAUGGCUUGAGCCUCAGAGUUUGAGGCUGCAGUGAGCCAUGAUCGCACUCAUAAUCUCCACUCCAGUGGCAUUGUGAAGUAUUUGUCCUUUCGUGAUGGGCUCAUUUCACUUAGCAUAAUUCCUCAAAGUUCAUCCAUGCUCUAGCAUGUGACGAGAUUUCUUUUUUUUUUUUAAGGUUGAAUAACAUUCCAUUGUAUUUAUAUACCACAGUUUCCUUAUCUGUUCAUCUAAGGAUAUCUGUGAUGUUUCUACCUCUUGGGUAUUGUGAAUAAUGUUGCAGUAAACAUGGGUGUGCGAAAUUUCUUCAAGGUCCUGUUUUGAAUUCUUUUAGAUAUAUACCCAGAAAUAGGUAUGUAUCUAUGUAUCAGAAAUAGGAUCACAUGAUAAUUCUAUUUUUAAUAUUUUGAGGCACCUCCAUGUUGUUUUCCAUAGUGGCUGCAUCAUUUUACAUUUCCACCAACAGUGCACAAGGGUUCCAAUUUCUCCACAUCCUCACCAACACGUUAUUUUCUUUUCUUUUGAUAGAGGCCAUCCCAGUGGGUGGGAGGUGAUAAUUCACUGUGGUUUUGAUUGGCAUUUGUCUUAUGAUUUGUAAUGUUGAGCAUCUUUUCAUAUGCUUAUUGGCCAUUUGUAUAGCUUCUUUGGAGAACUCUCCAUUUUUUAACUGUGUUGUUUUUUGUUGGUGUUGAGUUGUAGAAGUUCCUUAUAUAUUCUGGAUAUUAACCCCUUAUCAGAUAUAUGAUUUGCAAAUGUUCGCUACCAUUCCAUGGAUUACCUUUUUACUCUAUUGUUUCCUUGAUGCAAGAAGUUUUUAAGUUUGAUGUAGUCCCACUUGUCUAUUUUUACAUUCAGUUUUAAAUGCUCUGAAACUUAGACCCCUCAAACCACUUCUGGAUAAAGACUUUACCAGUUUUCUCAUGAAAAGAGAUAAGAUAUCUAUACUAAAACCAUGUUCUAUUUGUCACUUAAGUGGAAACUCCAAAUAGUGUUAUUUUACAUAGUAAAUUAUGUGAUUAAAAACAAUUAUUUACUUUUCAUU
rnacentral:lncRNA from 1 species